rnacentral:rRNA from 1 species
AGAGUUUGAUCAUGGCUCAGGAUGAACGCUGGCGGCGUGCUUAACACAUGCAAGUCGAACGAACCUUCGGGUUAGUGGCGGACGGGUGAGUAACGCGUGAGAAUCUGCCCUCAGGAGGGGGAUAACGGCUGGAAACGGCCGCUAAUACCCCAUAUGCCGAGAGGUGAAAUGAAUUUCGCCUGGGGAUGAGCUCGCGUCUGAUUAGCUAGUUGGUGUGGUAAAGGCUCACCAAGGCUUCGAUCAGUAGCUGGUCUGAGAGGAUGAUCAGCCACACUGGGACUGAGACACGGCCCAGACUCCUACGGGAGGCAGCAGUGGGGAAUUUUCCGCAAUGGGCGCAAGCCUGACGGAGCAACGCCGCGUGAGGGAUGAAGGCCUCUGGGCUGUAAACCUCUUUUAUCAAGGAAGAAGAACUGACGGUACUUGAUGAAUAAGCCACGGCUAAUUCCGUGCCAGCAGCCGCGGUAAUACGGGAGUGGCAAGCGUUAUCCGGAAUUAUUGGGCGUAAAGCGUCCGCAGGCGGUUUUACAAGUCUGUCGUUAAAGCGUGGAGCUCAACUCCAUUUCAGCGAUGGAAACUGUAAGACUCGAGUGUGGUAGGGGCAGAGGGAAUUCCCGGUGUAGCGGUGAAAUGCGUAGAUAUCGGGAAGAACACCAGUGGCGAAAGCGCUCUGCUGGGCCAUAACUGACGCUCAUGGACGAAAGCCAGGGGAGCGAAAGGGAUUAGAUACCCCUGUAGUCCUGGCCGUAAACGAUGAACACUAGGUGUCGGGGGAAUCGACCCCCUCGGUGUCGUAGCCAACGCGUUAAGUGUUCCGCCUGGGGAGUACGCACGCAAGUGUGAAACUCAAAGGAAUUGACGGGGGCCCGCACAAGCGGUGGAGUAUGUGGUUUAAUUCGAUGC